GGGUUGUGAGGUUAAGCGACUAAGCGUACACGGUGGAUGCCCUGGCAGUCAGAGGCGAUGAAGGACGUGCUAAUCUGCGAUAAGCGUCGGUAAGGUGAUAUGAACCGUUAUAACCGGCGAUUUCCGAAUGGGGAAACCCAGUGUGAUUCGUCACACUAUCAUUAACUGAAUCCAUAGGUUAAUGAGGCGAACCGGGGGAACUGAAACAUCUAAGUACCCCGAGGAAAAGAAAUCAACCGAGAUUCCCCCAGUAGCGGCGAGCGAACGGGGAGCAGCCCAGAGCCUGAAUCAGUGUGUGUGUUAGUGGAAGCGUCUGGAAAGGCGCGCGAUACAGGGUGACAGCCCCGUACACAAAAAUGCACAUGCUGUGAGCUCGAUGAGUAGGGCGGGACACGUGGUAUCCUGUCUGAAUAUGGGGGGACCAUCCUCCAAGGCUAAAUACUCCUGACUGACCGAUAGUGAACCAGUACCGUGAGGGAAAGGCGAAAAGAACCCCGGCGAGGGGAGUGAAAAAGAACCUGAAACCGUGUACGUACAAGCAGUGGGAGCACGCUUAGGCGUGUGACUGCGUACCUUUUGUAUAAUGGGUCAGCGACUUAUAUUCUGUAGCAAGGUUAACCGAAUAGGGGAGCCGAAGGGAAACCGAGUCUUAACUGGGCGUUAAGUUGCAGGGUAUAGACCCGAAACCCGGUGAUCUAGCCAUGGGCAGGUUGAAGGUUGGGUAACACUAACUGGAGGACCGAACCGACUAAUGUUGAAAAAUUAGCGGAUGACUUGUGGCUGGGGGUGAAAGGCCAAUCAAACCGGGAGAUAGCUGGUUCUCCCCGAAAGCUAUUUAGGUAGCGCCUCGUGAAUUCAUCUCCGGGGGUAGAGCACUGUUUCGGCAAGGGGGUCAUCCCGACUUACCAACCCGAUGCAAACUGCGAAUACCGGAGAAUGUUAUCACGGGAGACACACGGCGGGUGCUAACGUCCGUCGUGAAGAGGGAAACAACCCAGACCGCCAGCUAAGGUCCCAAAGUCAUGGUUAAGUGGGAAACGAUGUGGGAAGGCCCAGACAGCCAGGAUGUUGGCUUAGAAGCAGCCAUCAUUUAAAGAAAGCGUAAUAGCUCACUGGUCGAGUCGGCCUGCGCGGAAGAUGUAACGGGGCUAAACCAUGCACCGAAGCUGCGGCAGCGACGCUUAUGCGUUGUUGGGUAGGGGAGCGUUCUGUAAGCCUGUGAAGGUGUGCUGUGAGGCAUGCUGGAGGUAUCAGAAGUGCGAAUGCUGACAUAAGUAACGAUAAAGCGGGUGAAAAGCCCGCUCGCCGGAAGACCAAGGGUUCCUGUCCAACGUUAAUCGGGGCAGGGUGAGUCGACCCCUAAGGCGAGGCCGAAAGGCGUAGUCGAUGGGAAACAGGUUAAUAUUCCUGUACUUGGUGUUACUGCGAAGGGGGGACGGAGAAGGCUAUGUUGGCCGGGCGACGGUUGUCCCGGUUUAAGCGUGUAGGCUGGUUUUCCAGGCAAAUCCGGAAAAUCAAGGCUGAGGCGUGAUGACGAGGCACUACGGUGCUGAAGCAACAAAUGCCCUGCUUCCAGGAAAAGCCUCUAAGCAUCAGGUAACAUCAAAUCGUACCCCAAACCGACACAGGUGGUCAGGUAGAGAAUACCAAGGCGCUUGAGAGAACUCGGGUGAAGGAACUAGGCAAAAUGGUGCCGUAACUUCGGGAGAAGGCACGCUGAUAUGUAGGUGAAGUCCCUUGCGGAUGGAGCUGAAAUCAGUCGAAGAUACCAGCUGGCUGCAACUGUUUAUUAAAAACACAGCACUGUGCAAACACGAAAGUGGACGUAUACGGUGUGACGCCUGCCCGGUGCCGGAAGGUUAAUUGAUGGGGUCAGCGCAAGCGAAGCUCUUGAUCGAAGCCCCGGUAAACGGCGGCCGUAACUAUAACGGUCCUAAGGUAGCGAAAUUCCUUGUCGGGUAAGUUCCGACCUGCACGAAUGGCGUAAUGAUGGCCAGGCUGUCUCCACCCGAGACUCAGUGAAAUUGAACUCGCUGUGAAGAUGCAGUGUACCCGCGGCAAGACGGAAAGACCCCGUGAACCUUUACUAUAGCUUGACACUGAACAUUGAGCCUUGAUGUGUAGGAUAGGUGGGAGGCUUGGAAGUGUGGACGCCAGUCUGCAUGGAGCCGACCUUGAAAUACCACCCUUUAAUGUUUGAUGUUCUAACGUUGACCCGUAAUCCGGGUUGCGGACAGUGUCUGGUGGGUAGUUUGACUGGGGCGGUCUCCUCCUAAAGAGUAACGGAGGAGCACGAAGGUUGGCUAAUCCUGGUCGGACAUCAGGAGGUUAGUGCAAUGGCAUAAGCCAGCUUGACUGCGAGCGUGACGGCGCGAGCAGGUGCGAAAGCAGGUCAUAGUGAUCCGGUGGUUCUGAAUGGAAGGGCCAUCGCUCAACGGAUAAAAGGUACUCCGGGGAUAACAGGCUGAUACCGCCCAAGAGUUCAUAUCGACGGCGGUGUUUGGCACCUCGAUGUCGGCUCAUCACAUCCUGGGGCUGAAGUAGGUCCCAAGGGUAUGGCUGUUCGCCAUUUAAAGUGGUACGCGAGCUGGGUUUAGAACGUCGUGAGACAGUUCGGUCCCUAUCUGCCGUGGGCGCUGGAGAACUGAGGGGGGCUGCUCCUAGUACGAGAGGACCGGAGUGGACGCAUCACUGGUGUUCGGGUUGUCAUGCCAAUGGCACUGCCCGGUAGCUAAAUGCGGAAGAGAUAAGUGCUGAAAGCAUCUAAGCACGAAACUUGCCCCGAGAUGAGUUCUCCCUGACUCCUUGAGAGUCCUGAAGGAACGUUGAAGACGACGACGUUGAUAGGCCGGGUGUGUAAGCGCAGCGAUGCGUUGAGCUAACCGGUACUAAUGAACCGUGAGGCUUAACCUUACAACGCCGAAGCUGUU
rnacentral:rRNA from 1 species